GUUUUUUUGACUAUUGACGCUCCGCUAAACCAUUUGCUUCGGGCAAAACCAUAUGCUCUCUGCCCAGCAAAUCCAUCCGAGGAAAGUCAGUUACUCUUGCUCUUCAAACACAACCUAAACGCACUUUAAUCCAACGGCUAUUAUUAACUCCAACUCCUCUACAAAUAGCUUCUCAAACUCCUUGCACUGAUUGCUCCUACUAUACUUGUCUCUUCUCUACAUCACAAAAUCCUUCUCUUUCCCUCUCUAUUUGUGGAUCUAACGCAACCAAGCUUAUAGGCAUGGCGACUACCAUCGUCUCUGUCAAGGCUAGACAGAUCUUCGACAGCCGUGGAAAUCCAACCGUUGAGGCUGAUGUGAAAUUAUCUGAUGGUUAUUUGGCAAGAGCCGCCGUUCCAAGUGGGGCAUCCACUGGGAUCUAUGAGGCCCUUGAACUAAGGGAUGGAGGAUCAGACUACCUUGGAAAAGGUGUUUCCAAGGCUGUUGAGAAUGUUAACACAAUUAUUGGCCCUGCAUUGGUUGGCAAGGACCCAACUGAUCAGGUUGCUGUUGAUAACUUCAUGGUUCAACAACUUGAUGGUACUGUAAAUGAGUGGGGUUGGUGCAAACAAAAGCUUGGAGCAAAUGCCAUAUUGGCAGUUUCUCUUGCAGUUUGCAAGGCUGGGGCUCAUGUCAAGGGGAUUCCCCUCUACAAGCACAUUGCUAACCUCGCUGGUAACAAGAAAUUGGUGUUGCCAGUCCCUGCUUUCAAUGUCAUCAAUGGUGGAUCACAUGCUGGAAACAAACUAGCUAUGCAGGAGUUCAUGAUUCUUCCUGUAGGAGCUUCUUCCUUCAAAGAGGCCAUGAAGAUGGGUGCUGAAGUAUACCAUCACUUGAAGUCUGUGAUAAAAAAGAAGUACGGUCAGGAUGCAACAAAUGUUGGUGAUGAAGGCGGUUUUGCUCCUAAUAUUCAGGAAAACAAGGAAGGACUUGAGUUGCUCAAGACUGCCAUUGCUAAAGCUGGGUACACAGGGAAAGUGGUUAUUGGAAUGGAUGUUGCUGCUUCUGAAUUUUAUGGCUCAGAUAAAACAUAUGAUUUGAACUUCAAAGAAGAGGUGAGUUUUUAAUGGCGUGCUGAUAUUUUCAAUUGCAAUAUUUUAACUUCAUUCUAAAGGUCAGGAUAAUCGCUGCCAUUGUUAUUGUUGCAUUUGAAAUAUUGGCUUGUUCAAAUUGGCCUACUGAUUGUAGCAUUGCCUCAGUUUGGCUGGAUAUUUAAGUAUUACUGGGUAUAACUCAUUGUGAGAUGACAAAUCCAUCUGGUUCUGGUCAAUUUUUAUGUCUGCUGCUCAUUUACAUAGUUUGUGCAUGUGUAUGUACUUUACUAAAAAUUAUAAAUUGUAGCGAAUUUUGAAGGAAUUUAUAAGUGGCAAAACUCUUUAUUUUUAUGUUCUCUGAUUGCGCCCUUUCUCUUUCCUGUGAUUCUGUUUGUGCAGAACAAUAAUGGUUCGCAAAAGAUCUCAGGUGAAGCUCUCAAGGACCUCUACAAGUCAUUUGUAACUGAGUAUCCUAUUGUAUCAAUUGAAGAUCCAUUUGACCAAGAUGACUGGGCACACUAUGCAAAGCUAACUAGUGAAAUUGGAGAGAAAGUACAAAUUGUGGGAGAUGAUCUCUUAGUCACCAAUCCUAAGAGGGUUGAGAAGGCUAUCAAAGAGAAAGCUUGCAAUGCUCUCCUCCUCAAGGUUAAUCAGAUUGGAUCUGUAACUGAGAGCAUUGAAGCUGUGAAGAUGUCCAAGAGAGCUGGCUGGGGUGUAAUGGCCAGCCACCGCAGUGGUGAAACAGAGGAUACUUUCAUUGCUGAUUUGUCAGUUGGUUUGGCCACGGGUCAGAUAAAGACAGGAGCACCCUGCAGGUCCGAGCGCCUUGCAAAAUAUAAUCAGCUCCUCCGAAUCGAGGAAGAGCUUGGUGCUGAAGCAGUUUACGCUGGAGCUAACUUCCGCACACCUGUCGAACCCUAUUAGAAUGUGAAAGGUUGUCAGCUGUCACGUUGGAUCUGAGUAGUUGAAAGAUUACAUGAAGUGAAUAAGUUUUAUGUAAACUGGGACCUUUUUUGAAUAAUUUUCUAAGAAAUUUUGUUCUGAGGUUGGAACAGUAUUAAAGCGAAGUUUUUUAAAUUUGAAAUAUGUGCUACCAAAACCUUAGAUUGAGUUUUAUAAUUUUUUUCUAGUCGGGAACGUGUACUUUGGAUGCAUUGUAAUCCUAGGUGAAUGAUUUUGCUUUGCAUAUCAAAAUGGUUUGGUUUGCUAAUGUCCAUCCCCUUGUGCUCUAGGUUGUCUUAGAAGAACAGCUAUUUCUAUGAUGUAUCAUGUGAUGCGAAGAUAAUUCACUAAGGAAAAAGGUAAAUAGAGCCAAAAGGAUGAAAUUUAAUUGUCUGAUUUGUUUUUUCCUCUUUCGAAAAAGUAGGAAGUUUAGUCAGGAGAACACAUGCAAUCCGGUACCAGAAGUUGAUCAAGGUUUCUUCAAGGUACGGUGAAAGUGAAGUUGGAACAAGGUUGGGUAACGUGUUAUUUGUUAACGAUCCAUCUCUACCCUUCCAAGUUCCACCCAUCUAACCUGCUGCCUUGUUGCUUCAUGUCAAGGGCAUGACCUUGUAAUUGCAGCCUCACCUGCUCAGAGUCUGAUUGGCGGUCCUAAUUCUUCAGUAAUAAAGAUUAAUUUUGAUGCAGUCUUGGAUAUGCAAAAAUAAUUUGAUUCUUUCGCAAUCAUUACUCUUAAUGCGUCUGGACAACCUUUGGGUUGAGACUGUAAGCGUGUUCUGGGAAUUACAGAUCUUUCAAUUAUUGAUGUCAUGGCUUGCCGUGAAGCAGUCUUUUGGACUAAGAACAAAGGUUUUCAGGAUGUCUUUUUUGAAAGAGGUGCUAAGAACAUUAUCUCAUAUGCUAUUAGAGGUAAUCUCUAUUACUGUUUCGAAAAUUUUCUAUGAUAUUUUCUUUCUACAUAUAUUCAGACAAUUAAAUUUGAGUUUGCUAAUAGAGAAUGUAAUAAAGUAGCUCACUCUUUAAUUAAGUGUAUGUUUCAAAAUAACUCUUUUGCUUGUAAUUCUUUAGAGCAAACCAACUAUGUAAUUCUUUUUAUGCCA
rnacentral:misc_RNA from 1 species